GACUACCAGGGUAUCUAAGCCCGUUUGCUCCCCUAGCUUUCGCUUCUCAGCGUCAGAAGAGACCCAGUGAGCCGCCUUCGCCUCUGGUGUUCCUGAUGAUAUCAACGCAUUUCACCGCUCCACCAUCAGUUCCGCUCACCUCUAUCUCCCUCGAGCCCGGCAGUUUGAAACGCAAUUCCUCGGUUGAGCCGAGGGCUUUCACAUCUCACUUACCGAACCGCCUACAAACUCUUUAAGCCCAGUAAAUCCGAAUAACGUUUGGGCCUCUCGUAUUACCGCGGCUGCUGGCACGAGAUUAGCCGGCCCUUCCUCCAAGGAUCGGUCAAUAUAAUGGGUGAACCCACUACAAUUUCCUCCCCUUCGACAGCGGUUUACAACCCGAAGGCCUUCAUCCCGCACGCGGCGUCGCUCGGUCAGGCUUGCGCCCAUUGCCGAAGAUUCUCGACUGCAGCCCCCCGUAGG
rnacentral:rRNA from 1 species